rnacentral:sRNA from 1 species
GCGCAAAAUACUAGCUGGUAUCAAAUGACCUUAAAAAUGGCAAAUAAAAGUUAAAACUGAGUGAAUGGUCAAUCUCCAGAUUUUGGCAGUGUCGGAUUCCUCUCACAGGUACAGGUGAGCAUCAAGCUUUAGAAGCACUAUCCUCAGCUAUUCGCAUGAACUCUUCUGGUGUGAGGAAAUCAAUCUAUGAAGAUAUCAAUCAACUGGUCAAUUAUCACGCCUUCCGCAUCCUGUAUCGUCGCAGAUAACGCGACCUGAGUCCAUAUGGAUUGAUCUUUCCUCUCAAAGUAGCCUGGUUUUACCAAGCGGCAGAGGUCGGCGAGGUCUUUGAAACUGCUGACUUUGGUAACUUGUUGGAGCCAUUGAAACCAAGCGUGGCAUGCUUCAUAAUCGUAAGAGGCAGGAGGGUUGCAGCUGACUGUGAGGCCAUUACCGUUAGGCUGGGGUGCGUCUGCGAGAAAUAGUUGACCGAAUCCUCCGUCGAGGGUAAGGUAGGCAAUGAGGAUUGCAAAGGAUUCCAUCGCAUCGGGACAUAGACUAGAAGCAAUAAUCACCGGUGGUGCCAGAUACGCUCCCCAAUUGGGCAUCUUCUUCAAAGUUUCCAUAACCUUUUCAAACAAUUUCGGCUCCUCAAGAAUAAGAGACGGUGCAAAAGUGAUUAUUCCCCCUUGCGACUUGACAGGACAUAAGGUAGGAAAUGGACGAUGCUGCUCAAGUGUGGCAGAGGUGGGAGUCGGUAGACUAUUGAAAACCUCCGUAGGACUAUCUUGCCUGAUUUGACGAAGGCGAAGCAGGGUGUCAAGAUUGUAGAUGAUAUCAUGGUUGAUGCGAUUGACUGUAGCAUGUACGACCUGUGAAGGAGUCGAAGAAUAAGUUGCAGUUGGUUGGAGCGCAACUGUGGGGGAGGGUUCGAUAAUUUGGUGAGGGGUAGGCAGAGGGGUUGUUUUGGUGGACGAUUGGCUGGGCGCUUGUGUAGGUUUUUGAGUCGAUGACUGCACAGAUAGUUGGGAUUUAGGCUGCGUAGGACGUUGAGAGGCAGGUCGAGAAGCAGCUUGCACAACUGGGGUAAUCGAUCGAGGUUGGGACUGAUCAGCAGAGGGUUGUGCUGCGCCAUUAGCUGCCUGACGGGUUGCUUCAUUGUUCGCACGUUCAUCCGGUGCCGAUGUCAUUUGUCUCACGGCUGCAGAAGCCAACGAUGGAAUUAGCGUCGAAUCUGAUGGCUGAGCAAGUGGAUGGCCAGAUGUCUGAAUAGCAGGUGAAGCCAGAGGUUGAAUAGGUGCUGGGGCAGUUACCUGAGCGAGCCGUUGGGCUUCAGGUGCGGGCUGCCUGGGCUGGUAAGAUUGAGAAAUCCGUGAAGCCAUCGGUAGUUUCUGAGUGGGUUGAGUUUGGGGAAAUGCAGCUUUUUCUCUCUCUGCCUUCUCCUCCUCCGCCCGUUUCUUUGCAAUCUUUUCUCGUUCCGUCUUCUCUUUAUCUGCCUUCGCCUUCUGUAUCCCCCGCAUUUUCGUCAUUUUCUCUGUUGCGUAGAUCCGAUCUUUCUCCUGCUGUCCCUUCCGCUUCUCCUCUUUCCCUUGCUUUUGUAAUCGCUCCAUCUCUAGACGUUCUUUCUCCAACCGAGAUUCCUGAGCAGGUUGUACUAUGCUGUCAUCUUCGGGCAUCGACGAUCCCAGAUGCAAACCCAAGGACGUUUGUGAUGUUUGUUGGAUUGAUGCUUGAUCUGCGUCUGCGGGAAGCGAUACAAAUGUACGUUCAGGCACUUCAUCAAUUCUCUCGAAUGGACGAGUAAAUACUGAGUCUUCGUGAUCCGGACGUGGAGUAAAGAGUGGUUCUUCAUUAUCUUCUUGAGCAUUUAUGGUAGGCGCAGGCGUGGGACCAACGACUGUGGAGCUGUCAUGUGUGGCGCCAGGCAGGACUCGAGUUGAUGCAUUGCCCUGUGCCGGAACCGCAGUAACAGCAGUAGCUAUUUCCGGGGGAACGACACUGGAAGAAGCCGCGUUGAAGCCGUCUUCAUCUUGCAAAGAGCGUCUAGGCCUGGUACGAUUUCAUAUGUAAGUUUUUAAACUUUGCCUAACGAUGCCAACUUACACUUUUUUCCCACUCCCACUAUUCUCUCCACCCUUCGGCCGUUUAGGACUUCGUUGAGGGGAGAAUCCCUCAUUUGUCCUAUGAGAUAUCCCGAUCAGUCCGUUGCUUGGGUUAACUGCGUUUGAACGUACCUCGAAGCACCCGCACGAUGAUAUGCUUCGGACGACCUACUAUCCAAACUUUUCCUCGCCACUGUCGGUGACGUCGACCUCGCAUUCGUUGACACACUCACAGUCCUUCUUUCCCCGCUAUUAGUUCUAUUUCGAGGAUCCGUCGAAGACUGUCUGCUCUGCGAUGAAACUAUGUCUUGUGGAGAUUGCCUCUGCAACAUAGCAGUCAACAGCCUCGUAGCACCGGUGAGAUUCUCCUCAUCUAGCUUCCUCCUCUGAGCCUUAGUGAAUUCCUUAGGCCUCUGUGGCCCUGGAGCUUGAGGCGAUAAGUGUGCUUGAGCAGCAGUGUCCACAUCGUCUAUUGUCUUGAUAAGCUUCGGUUGCUCAUAUUUUUUCCUCAUGGUGGUAGCAAUAUUUGUUGGAUGGGUUGGCGCGUUCUGCCCAGCGCCGGUUGGAAUCGCUGGCGAAGAAGGGAGAUCGCUAGCGAUAUCAGGUGGUGAGGAGGAGGUAAAAUCAAUAGGUUCUUGCAAUGAAGAGACGGAUAUCUGCCGGGAUACGUUGCUAGAUUGAUUGUGAAUCAGAGUAUGACGGUUCGAAAGCAUUGUAGACGAU